UUUAUCAUAGUUUGUGGUUCAGAUACAGCAAGACAAAAGAACAAAGCAAUGGCUGAAAUUACAUUCCUAAAAGACAUGUACACUAAAAUAAAAGACCACGAACUGAUAACAAAGAUUGAGUAUGAUUUGUCUUCAAAUGCAUGGAGUGGUCUUAUGAUUUACAUGGACACAUUUGCCUCGAUCGGAGGGAAACUGGUGCAACAGAUAACGGGUGACCUGGACAUUUCUGCACCCGUAAGAACAGGGUGGUCAAUAGCACAACAAAUAUUCGAUGCAGAAAUAGAUAAUAGGCAAUCAAGCACGACAGUCGGGUGACUGUAACGUAUUAAGGACACAUUCUUAUUAUAUAUCCUCUCAUAUCGCUUUUUAGAAUAAAGUGUUUGUUUUUGUUAAUA